CAUCGCCUCUUGCAAAGCUAAAGAAUAAGAGGUCCCGCCUGCCCUGUGACUAUUAGUUUAACGGCCGCGGUAUUUUGACCGUGCAAAGGUAGCGCAAUCACUUGUCUUUUAAAUGAAGACCUGUAUGAAUGGCACAACGAGGGCUUAACUGUCUCCUCUUUCAAGUCAAUGAAAUUGAUCUCCCCGUGCAGAAGCGGGGAUAUAAACAUAAGACGAGAAGACCCUAUGGAGCUUUAGACACCAAAGAAGAUCCUGUCAAGUAACCCCUUAUAAGGGCCUAAACUAAUGGAAUCCUUCCCUAAUGUCUUUGGUUGGGGCGACCGCGGGGAAACAAAAAACCCCCACGUGGAAAGGGAGCACCCCCUCCUACAACUAAGAGCCGCAGCUCUAAUUAACAGAAUAUCUGACCAAUAAGAUCCGGCAAUGCCGAUCAACGGACCGAGUUACCCUAGGGAUAACAGCGCAAUCCCCUUUUAGAGCCCAUAUCGACAAGGGGGUUUACGACCUCGAUGUUGGAUCAGGACAUCCUAAUGGUGCAGCCGCUAUUAAGGGUCCGUUUGUUCAACGGUUAAAGUCCUACGUGA
rnacentral:rRNA from 2 species